rnacentral:rRNA from 1 species
AUUGAACGCUAGCGGGAUGCCUUACACAUGCAAGUCGAACGGAGUGGCGAACGGGUGCGUAAUGUAUCGGACCGUGCCCAGUAGCGGGGGAUAACUACGCGAAAGCGUAGCUAAUACCGCAUACUCUUGGAGCGGCCUAUAUCGGAUUAGCUAGUUGGGGGGGUAAAGGCUCACCAAGGCGACGAUCCGUAGCUGGUUUGAGAGGAGGACCAGCCACACUGGGACUGAGACACGGCCCAGACUCCUACGGAAGGCAGCAGUGGGGAAUUUUGAACAAUGGGGGAAACCCUGAUCCAGCCAUCCCGCGUGUGCGAUGAAGGCCUUCGGGUUGUAAAGCACUUUUAGCAGGAAGGCGGUACCUGAAGAAGAAGCACCGGCUAACUACGUGCCAGCAGCCGCGGUAAUUC